rnacentral:rRNA from 1 species
GGCAAAAGCUCAAAUUUGAAAUCCCCCGGGAAUUGUAAUUUGAAGAGAUUUGGGUCCGGCCGGCGGGGGUUAAGUCCACUGGAAAGUGGCGCCACAGAGGGUGACAGCCCCGUGAACCCCUUUAACGCCCUCAUCCCAGAUCUCCAAGAGUCGAGUUGUUUGGGAAUGCAGCUCUAAGUGGGUGGUAAAUUCCAUCUAAAGCUAAAUACCGGCGAGAGACCGAUAGCGAACAAGUACAGUGAUGGAAAGAUGAAAAGCACUUUGAAAAGAGAGUGAAAAAGUACGUGAAAUUGUUGAAAGGGAAGGGCUUGCAAGCAGACACUUAACUGGGCCAGCAUCGGGGCGGCGGGAAACAAAACCACCGGGGAAUGUACCUUUCGAGGAUUAUAACCCCGGUCUCUAUUUCCUUGUUGCCCCGAGGCCUGCAUUCUAAGGAUGCUGGCGUAAUGGUUGCAAGUCGCCCGUCUU